AACUUUCGGCAAUGGAUCUCUUGGCUCUUGCAUCGAUGAAGAACGCAGCGAAUUGCGAUAUGUAAUGUGAAUUGCAGAAUUCAGUGAAUCAUCGAAUCUUUGAACGCACAUUGCACCCUCUAGCACUCUGGAGGGUAUAUCUGUUGGAGUGUCAUUAAUGUCUCAAUGCUGACAGAUGCUGAAAAGUGCAUGUCAGUGCUGGACAUUGAGGAUUGCUGGUUUUAUUUAUCAGCUUCCUUUAAAUGAAUGAGCAGGUCUUUUAGUUGGCUCCAGUUUGAUAAUUAACUUUUGUCUAUGCUGUUGCUAAUGUGUCUAAGACUUGCUGCCAACUGUCCAUUUAGCUGGACUGUCUCCUUCAUUGGAGACAUUUAUCUUGACUUUGACCUCAAAUCAGAUAGGAUUACCCGCUGAACUUAAGCAUAUCAAUAAGCGGAGGCU
rnacentral:misc_RNA from 1 species